AGCAGACUCCAUGCUCUUCUCAGAUGACGUUUUCACCAUUGAGCCCUUGGAGGGAGAGGUUGGGCCACAUUGUUCAGCUGAAAUCAAGGUGUUCUUUAAACCCCGAGAAGCCCAAGUCUACAGAAAAGUGGCCUACUGUUCCAUCUCAGGCCGUGAGACCAGGCUGCCCCUGC